AUUAAAUGAAAUGAUAACCUAACCCUCUCAUAUAAAUAUAUCGAAGAGUUGUUGACUCCAGUAGUUUUUGGGUAUAAAAUUAUGAGAGCGAUCAGGUCAAAAAGGAUCAUAUCAGUGGAAGGGAAAACCAAGGGCACUAAAAGAAGGCAAUACCAUGCAUUCUAUUAUGGUGCUCUGAGGAAGAGUCCCUGGAAGGCCUCACCAUACCCCCCCGUCCAAGCAAGACUAUUCGAUAGUCGGGUUCCCUUAGUCCCUCUUAGUGGGGUCCCUCUAUUCUUACGUCACAAAAUGCAAUGGAACUGCGGCACAAGACCAUGAAGAAAUCAUAUCCAAAUGGCAACCACUCGUGUAAAAAUCAGUUUCCUCCAGGCAUUACUCAACCCGCUUGUGUGCACUCUCGACAGCACAUAUGUUUUUUGAACAACCAGUAUUCUGAACACAAUAAGUAUCAUGAACCCGACCCAGAAUAAAUCAUCCAAAUUUAUGAAUUGUCACAUGAAUCAUUUGAAGAAUCACUCAGAAACUUUAGUACACCCCACCCCCCCCAAACAUUAGUAUCUCAACCAGAAACUUUAGUAACAACCCCCCAAAAACUCCGAUGCAUGAAUUUUCAGCUAACGACAGCCUUAGAUGGUGGCACGUGAAUGAUAGGGUUUUUUUUCAUGGUAAUUGUUAUAAGUAGUUAUUUAAUUGGGAAUAUGAAUUUGGGUGUUAGUGCUGAUCUUGGUGCAUCCAAAAAAAAAAGGAUAAAUUAUAUUAAAUCCCUUUAAGCUAUCAACUAUUUUUGAGUUGUCUCUUAAACUUUGAAUCCAAACACUUAGCCCCCUUGAUGUAUUUAAAAUUUUAUAGUUUCCACUUUCCAUUAGUAAUCCGUUUAUUUUUUUGGAUGGAAAAUAUCCUGUUCCAAGUGAUUCGCUCCCAAAAGUAAAUUUCUAUUCGCAAGUAUACGGGUCAUGAAGCAGUAUAAAAUCUCAAAGUUCGAGUAUCGUUCCACGAGGAGCAAUGCCAAGAUGAACACAAGAAAACUUAACACUUGCGACUACAUGCUACUAAUCCUGAUUAAUACUCCUAAGAAGAGAAAAUAAAAUCUUGCAUUGGUAUUGAUAGAUUUAAACUAAGUCUAAAUACGAAAGCACUAACUUAUUUAACUUUCUAAAAAAUGACUCAGAACCAAUUGUUUUCUACAUCGGGUUGUGGCCAUAAAAAAAAAAAAAAAAAAGAAUUCAAUGGAGGUUUCAUAUAACUCAAAUCCUUUGACUAUGUUAUGAGUCUCAGAUUUGGAAGAUUUAGCUUUAAAAGCAAUGAUUCUUUCAAUCUUCAACUCUUAGAAUAAAUCGGAUUAUUAUAAUCAAGGACGUGCAUUAUCGAUUCACGCAGUACAUAUACUGAACCCAGCUCAUGCAUAAACAUUACAAGGUAGUGUAUAUACUGAGUGUGGUAUUCAUGCAUAAGUAUUACCGAACAUAAUAGGAUGCCCAGGUUUUCGAAAAUAUCUAGAACGAAGAAGAAGAAUCUAAAAGAUAAUAAAGGUGAAAUCAAAAUUACCUCUAUUAUUCAUCCUCGAUCCCUAAUCGAUCUUCACAAUCGAUCCCGAGUUGAGAAAUUUAGCCACUCAUGGCCAUGAAAAGCAAAUAACUAUGUAUUAAAAAUUUCAUGGAAUGUAAAAUCUAGGUAUGAACAAAUAAAAUUCAAAUUCUUAAAUUAAUCACAGAAAAACUAUAGAAAACUAUGAAUACUUAAAUGAAAUAUUGAAUUGAAUUAAUAAAUCUUGAAUUUGAUGAAAGUGAUUACAAAAAUAUUGAAAUCCCUAAGUACUCCUAUUAUUCUAGACUAAAAAUCAUUAAAAAUCAUAAAAAUAUUGUGCCCCCUUUACAGAAAAUCAUAAAGAUAUAUAUAUAUAUAUACACAUUUCAAUUCAAGUCCUAAUAGAAAUAGGAUUCUAUCUCGAAAGUUCCUUCUUAGCGUUUGAACCCCAAAAUGAGAGUUCGAACCCUAAGGCCAAAUUUUUAGCUUUUCUUCUUUCACAGUUCGAAUGCCAUAAUAAGAGUUCAAACCCUCAAUCCUGUAACUAUUUCUUCAAGUUUGCACAACCUCUGCGUGUUUGAACCCUAAAAUUGGAGUUCGAACUCCAAGACUAAAAUUCAUGUUUUUCUUCCAUUCUUCAUACCAUCGUUCGAAUGCUAAAAGUCCUUUGUUUUUUCAACUAACUUUGAUUUUUUCUCCUAUUUCUUCUCAGUCUAUUUUAACACUUUUGGAGUCCAUAUUACAACACUCGUUAGAUGAGAAUUUGUAUAACUUUGUGAGAUCUUUCUAACAGCACAUCUUUCAUUCUAUUACGAGCUACGAGUGAAAACUUUCAUAUUUUUUGAGAUAAAUUUUAGCAACAGUCUCGAUAUGGGUGUCCGCACUUCAGAUCACUUUUAUGGCUCUAAAUCUUAUUUUUUAUUAAGAUUUAUUUGCAAUAAGCGCAAAUACAAUUUUUAGUACAAGAUAUGACAAA
rnacentral:lncRNA from 1 species